rnacentral:rRNA from 1 species
UACGAAGGGGGCUAGCGUUGCUCGGAAUCACUGGGCGUAAAGCGCACGUAGGCGGCUCUUUAAGUCAGGGGUGAAAUCCUGGAGCUCAACUCCAGAACUGCCCUUGAUACUGGCGGUCUCGAGUCCGGGAGAGGUGAGUGGAACUGCGAGUGUAGAGGUGAAAUUCGUAGAUAUUCGCAAGAACACCAGUGGCGAAGGCGGCUCACUGGCCCGGUACUGACGCUGAGGUGCGAAAGCGUGGGGAGCAAACAGG